rnacentral:misc_RNA from 1 species
GGGUAAAGAAAGAAAACAUUGUGCUUCACACACUAGGGAUUAAUAACAUGGAGGAUUCUGUCUGUUUAAGGCGUAUCUUACAGAAAAGAAACUAGGGCCACCUUCACCAAUGUCCUUGUACAAAGAAGCAGGAAGGUGAUGACAUUCCUAGAUGUAGGGUAGGGUAGGGUACUUUAUAAGCACGCGCCCAAUGGUAAGUUCAAACUGAGAGUAACAGAUAGUGGGUGUCAUUUGGAAUUCACAAGGAUCCAACAACAACAGCCACACAUGUAUCCAAUAUCUCCAACUCUUUUUCCCUCCAUGCCACUACCAUCCAACCAGUCAAUGACAAAUCAGAAAUGCUUUGAUGAGGAGCCCUUUAGUGGGUUCACUUUCCCUCUUUCCUAUGGAAUGAUUCAAUCAAAUCCCAAAAAGUAAAAGAAAAAUGAACAUCAAUAUCAAAAGUUAUUCCCUGUUGCAAUCCUUGUCCUGUCUCCACAUCCUUACUUCUACUUUCUUAUUGCACUUCACAAAGGUGAAAAGAGAAUGUUCAAAGCUAUAAAUAAUAAAAACAUCCCACCAAAUGAGGCACAUCUUCUCCAAAGCUAUAGCAGCUCAUGCAGACAAGACGACAGAGCAUCACCUAUCCUUUUAUUCCUCUUUAAAAACCAUUCCAAAAACUAUCUUCCAUUCUUAUUUGUAUUUUCUUUCCUACCCUCUUAUCCUGGAGGGGUCCCUUGGCCUCUUCUCCAAUACACCAACCCAGAUUUCUUAGGUUAGCCACACAACCUUGCCUUCUUGGACUUAGCAACUCAGCUGCCGAUUCCACUUUUCCUUUUACAUCAUCCAGAAUCUAUAGAGGGCUCAUUAUUAAUGCAUUACAUAUAUACAUCCUAUAUAUAGCAAUACAGAAAUCCAGGGACUCACCAGAGUGCACUCCUAUCACUCGUAACAGAUAACCAGUUCUCCAUCAAUGGGUAGGCAAAACUGUGAUCCCACCAUCAUGCAUUCCUCCAUUGCCCUUCUGCAGGAGAGGUUUAGACAGCUAGAGAAAGCAAAGGAGAUGAGGCAGCAGAGGCAACUCUUAAGACUUCUCUCUGAAGCAGAGCAAGUCAAAUCAGCCAAAGCAUAUGAGCCAUCCAGGCCUUUUUUUCACUCUGAAUUAACCCAUUCACCUGGGCAACCACUUCAAGGCCCUGUCUACCUCCAGCCUAACACAGAGAACGAGCAUACAAAUCUCCAAAUCAACGAGACUGCAAACUGGGCAAAUUUACGGUCCAAAAAUACUGUCACGCACAUUGCAAAUAACUUUGAUGAAUCAGACGUUGAUACCUCACUUCAUCUGUGAAAAAAUUUACAAUGUUAGUAUCUCCUGUAUUCUUGUUCCAUUGUUCUGUUUCCCAAGUCCUUUUACUGCUUUUAUGGAGCUGUUAGAGAGAGAGAGAGAGAGA